AUUCCGUUGAACUAACUGAUUUUGUUCUAUUUAUAAAGUCCUGAAAUAAAGGGAUGUUUUUCAGAAUUAUUAAAGUAGAAGCCUGAGCAGGUAAGCUGAGCCCCACCUCACGUCUGCUGCCAGAGCUCAGCGGUGUGAAGCGGGCAGAUGAGAAAAGUCACACCUCUUGCAGAAUCCAAUUAAAUCAGACUCCUCCAUUUUCCUUGUAUGACAUACUAUUUUGAUAAUAAAUUAAAAACAGGAAGCCAAAAGAGGGUUCAAAUUACCUUAUGCUCCCAGCAUACUAAGGGAGGAUGCACCUUUGGGAAUGCCUGAAGCAGUUAUUUCUGAGACACUCAUUAUAUUUCAGUCAGUUUGGAAUAUGGGAAGAAGGAGUCAGUGAGCUGACAGGUUAACUGCUCAGGUUAGCACUAGAUCUCAGAAAGUGCUACACCAGACACGGGGAGGUGUUAUGCCACUGAUCACAGAGAUACCCUUCCUGUUACCCAAGAAGCACAGUCAUGCUCAAGGCCAGGAUCGCUGGGCUGAGAGGUGUUCUGCGUCUCUCCUACACGUGUGACUCCAGGAAGGAAAAGGACACCUUGCCGGGUGUCCCCAUCCUGAACUUCUAUUCCCAUUGACUGUGGCCAUCCCUCUACACUCUGGAGCAGGGCUGAAAAGAGAGAUGCAGCAGAGAAAUGCCACAGAAAGGGAAGAUGGAGAGAUUCAAAGUGUGAGAGGAAUUCAGCCUGCUGUCGCUGGAAGGAUUCCCGAUGGAACACAUGAGAAGAAACCUAUGUAGCAUCUAGGAGCAAAGACUCACCCCUGGCUGACCUCAGUAAGGAAAUGGGGACCUCACUGCUACAGUGUCAAAGAAUUGACUUUAACCCACAGCCUGAGUGUGCUUAGAAGCAGAUGCAUUCACAGAUCUUCCAGAAGGGAAUGGAGCCUCAUUGACACCUUGAUUUUAACCUUGUGGAUCCUAAGCAGGGAAUUCAGAUGAGAUGCGCUGUGAGAUAAUACAUGGGUAUUGUAUUAAGCUGCUAAAUUUGUGGUAAUUUCUUAUGACAGCAAUUUAAAAAACGGAUAGAAAACCACUAACCCAAAUCUCAUAGUCCCCCCUCUCUUCCAUCCUUCACAGUUUCCUACCGGUACUUCCAAGCACUCAGCAGUUCCUAUCCAUUUU
rnacentral:lncRNA from 13 species